UACGUAGGGUGCAAGCGUUGUCCGGAAUUAUUGGGCGUAAAGAGCUCGUAGGCGGUCUGUCGCGUCGGCUGUGAAAACUCGGGGCUCAACUCCGAGCUUGCAGUCGAUACGGGCAGGCUAGAGUUCGGCAGGGGAGACUGGAAUUCCUGGUGUAGCGGUGAAAUGCGCAGAUAUCAGGAGGAACACCGGUGGCGAAGGCGGGUCUCUGGGCCGAUACUGACGCUGAGGAGCGAAAGCGUGGGGAGCGAACAGGAUUAGAAC
rnacentral:rRNA from 1 species